UUGGAGUUUCGACGAGGACCAUUGCAGUUGAUGUUUUGUUUGUGCAGAAAGCAAGACCUUUAUUCAACUGUGGACGAUGCUGAGUUGGACCGCAUGGUUAUUGAAAUCCACAGAAGACACCCAAACACCGGGUACAAGCUCAUGCGUGGUCAUCUAAAUGCAAGAGGCUCAAGAGUACUAGAAUCUCUACGCAGAGUCAAUGCAGAAGGAGUUCACAUGAGACGUUUAAGGCUGCGUGUGUCAAGGCGAAGGCAGUAUUCUGUACCUGGCCCGAAUUCCUUGUGGCAUAUAGAUGGGAAUCAUAAGCUCAUCAGGUGGAGAUUUGUUAUCCAUGGAGGGGUGGACGGAUUCGGUCGUCUUGUGGUCUACCUCACUGUGGCUGGCAAUAAUAGAGCCAGUACGGUCUUACGGAGCUUCAUGACUGCUGUUGAGCAGUAUGGACUGCCGUCAAGGGUACGGUCUGAUAAAGGGGGAGAGAAUGCAGAUGUCGCAGAAUUUAUGAUCAGAAGUAGAGGUGCCGACAGGAAUUCACACAUCACUGGAAGAAGUGUCCACAAUCAGCGAAGACCACAGGAGAUGGUUCCAGUAAUCCAUGUCCUCAGUCUGUUGGUCUUCAGCAAACUGUGAAAGUUAUCAUUUCUUCAGUGCUGCCCCAUGAAACAUUAUAGAUCAUCAGCAGAAAUGAUUGAGAGGAUGUGGAGGGAUGUUUAUGAACACACACUGGACCUCUUCUACCAGAUCUUUACUUCACUGGAAGGUCAGGGAAUACUGAAUCCGGAUAGCGAGGUCCAUCUUUUUGCACUGCACCACACCUUCCUUCCUGUCAUUCAGCACAGCCUCAACAGUUUCAGAGAUGCCUGGAACUUCCAUGGUCUCAGAACCGAAAGGAAUCAGUCACCUCAGCAACUCUGGAUACGAUACAGAGAGCAAGGCCCUAUGGAGGAUCCUACACAGGUUUAUGAUGACUAUGGAAUCGACUGGAAUGGACCACACCGUCUGGAUGGAGGCAUGGUGUCAGUCCCUGAGGUUCAGUUGGCACGUGAGCUCACAGAGGAAGAACUUGCCAUUUUGCCACAUGUAGGAUUAUCUGCAUCUGAUGCAAUACAAUGUUAUGUUGAAACCGUUGAAGUUGUGUCAAGAAUGAUGACAUAAUGUUAAAGAAAAUAUAGUUAAAUGCUUUGCAUUAUGUUCAGUCAUUAUCAGGACACAUAUCUGUGUCCUGUUUGUGAGGCCAGGUGCGCAUGAGAGGAGAAAACAUUCUGUCUGGGAUCAUGUCUGUGGCCUUGACUGUCUGUGACUCCUUACAUAUGUCACACUGUAUCUUAUUA